CUGUGUUCCUCUGUCCCGUUGGUCUGUGAACCUCUCAAAGGUCUCCCUCCUGCCCGCCCUGCUCUCUGCUGUACUGAGCAGGGCCUGUGGCGACGGUCGCCAGGGAGCAUCUCCUGAUCAAUGGCUCCAUUUCCAAGGACGGCAGACACCAUGGAAAUGGAUUUGUGAGGCAGAAGGGCCUCUCAUGGAAGACAGCAGAAAGAGGAAAGAUGACAUGAAGACCAAGCCCCACAAGGAGAAUCCCGAAUGGAGACAGAGCAUCUUCUUGAACUCGACUCUCAUGAGGAAACCCCGAAGCCGACACUGCAGCAACGUCAUGAUCUUGGCCAGACGCUCGUCCCUCAUGUCCUCGAGCUUGGCCAGGAUGCCUGCUCUGAAGAACACCUGGAGAAGAGGCACUUGUCUGAAAAGGGUCCAGCUGUCUCCCAAUGGCAGCCACUUGGGGAAGUUUUAAAUCAAAGAACCAUCAUGUCACAAGGGACUUUAAAGUUAAGAGACCCCACUGGUGCUGGUGCUGAUACUUAAGGUCCCACGGAAACAGCUGGCCCAGCCUGGACACCCCUGCCUGUGUUAGCAUCCGUUUCCUCUUCGUAGCCUGUCAGCUGGGCUCCAGUCCCAGCUUUGCACUUCCUAACUGGGUCACCUUGGACACAUCUCAGCCUCAGUUCUUCCUCUGUGAAAUGGGGAUGCAAAUCCUUCCCUUAGAGCGUUGCUAUAAAGAUUAAAUGAGAUAAUAGGUGGAAAAGUUCUUCAAGGCUCCAGGUAAAAUGUGAUGGAUCCUUAUAUAAUACGGUGAUUGCCCUGCAGUCAGAGUGGCAAGGGGCCUUCCUUCCU